rfam:Pseudanabaena biceps PCC 7429 scaffold_00443, whole genome shotgun sequence.
GCUCCUGUAGCCCAAUGGAAGAGGCGUUCGGCUUAGACCCGAAACGUUGGAGGUUCAAAUCCUCUCAGGAGUA